ACUUAAAUAGUUUAAGACAACAAAACGUUAGCUUGUGGUGCUCAAGAUGUGAAAGUUUCACUUUAAGUA
rnacentral:tRNA from 1 species